ensembl:lncRNA
GAAACCAAGCAAAUGGUGGAGAUUCCAGAUGGAGGGCGCUGCAUCAACUCCAGAGUUUUCCAGGAGUUUAUUCUGGAGGCGAGGUCGGUGUGAUGCGUCUAGAGCACUUCCCUUUACUUGGACAAAUAGAGAGGAUGACUGGCUUACUCUGGUGGCUGUUUUUGCUUGGAGGAAGUCCUUGCGUUCUACACACAGAAGCGUGUUUCUUGGGCAGGAAGUGUGGCAGCAGCAGAGUCGAGAGGAACAGUGAUGACAACAGAGAGACUAACGAAUCUGAAUCUGGCCAAUGGGCUCUUCAGCAGAGUCCUGGGGUCCGGCACAGGCCUGUGAGAGUGGUGCAUACAGACGUGACCGCUGAGAACUCUGGCUGA